AAGGUGUUCGAAUUGUUACUCUCCAACGCUUAACGAGAAUUCCGGCAACUUGCGAACGCACCGGCUAUUUUCCGCAAUUCUUCUAUAUUGGUGUUUUUGGUUAGCACUACCCGAUAUAAGUAAAUUAAUUAAAAACAUACCAAGCAAGUCAUGGGUACUGAAACUCCAACACAUUUAAAGAAAUUUUAAUAACACCACUACAUACACACAUAUGCAACAAAGGGCAAAAUGUGCAUAAACAUUUACCUCAACUCUUCUCUCGUACAGCACCCUGAAUGAUAUAAAGAAACAACCAAAGUUUUCGUGUUUGAACAAGUUUUGUUUUGAGCUACAUAUAUCAUGGCUGCUUGUGAAGUAUUAUUUUGCGUGUUUUAUUUAAAUCAGUGAUAUGCAACCUAAUUCAUUGUAUAUGCCCAUAUAUGUAGGUUUCUACAAUGGCCUAAUUAAAAGUUUAAAUUAUUGAAGCAUGCAUUUUUAAAUAAGUAAAAUAAAAGUAUUAUAAAUACAAAAUAUGGAAUUGAAGAAGGUGAUACAGUAAUACUUCAUUGUACUGUCAAUUCGAAGCACGCAAAAAUUUCCAUACAGAUAUUUCAAACCUCAUACGCCGCGUUAAAGGUACGCAAACUUAUUGGUAUCACUUAUUUUAGCAGCGUAGAACUUUCGAAGCGAUGGAAUAUGUGCUGCAAGCAAAUCCAGAACUAUGGAUGCAAAUGCUGCUACAUGGAACAAAAAUCAUUUACACACCAGAUAUUAAGCUUAAUGUCACUUUUUUUACGUGCAAUUAAACCUUUUGGUCAAAACAAGCACGAGAAUUGGAAUGACAUGGUUUAGGUGAUUUUGUAACCGUUUAACCUCGCGACGUGUGUCAAUUGGGAUUUGCCAAUGAGCUAGAGGACAAAGCAAAUGCAGUAUUUUUUUGUACUUACCGGCACCUCAGUUGGCCAUACCAGCAGCUGAAGAGAGGGAGGACUUUUUUGAUUCAUUUUCACCUUGUAUUGAGGAAUCAUAACGUUAUUGUAUCGCUUUACAAGGACAUGGAUUCAACAAAAUUAGUUCAGUGGAAACACAACAGCAAGAGUAUGGAUGUUAUGACUAGAACGUUGUCCGUGCUAUAUUUAGAAUUCCUGAAACAUAAGAAACCCUCCUCCCUGAAAUUGAAUGAAUCUAGUACUAGUGAAAUUAAUGAAAGAACAGAUCUUACAAAAACUUCUAAAGAAACCAAAAGAGUCCUCACAUAAUGUGCGCAGCUUACACUUCCAGGCGGCUCGGGGUAUUUGAGAUUUGCCACUCUUCCUCCAGCCUUUGUUCGAUAGCAAAAAUUGUUCAGCUAUUCAAUACGUUAUUCAUAUGUAUAUAGUGUAAUACGAUAAUACAUGUAUAAAGUAAAUAUAAUAAUAACACCUAAAUGGCAUGAUAUUUUCAAUAAAUAUGAAAUAAAAUUAAUGGUUUUGUUAUUAAAUUCUCAUUUGGGAUUUUGGUAGAACUAACCGAAAACAACGGGUAUAGUUUCUGGGCUUUUGUGGGUCGCAUUCCUGAAAGUGCACGUGGAGUUUUCGUUCGCAGUUUUGGGUCUUUUAUCCGUAAUAGUACCAAGAACAGUACUGAAAGUGUACGGUAGUUUUACUUCGCAGUUUUGGGUCUUUCAUCCGUGAUUGUACCAAGAUCAUUCACAGAAUUGUGCAAGAGGUAUAUAUAAAUUGUUAAAUGAUGAAUCCCAGCAAGUCAUGGGUACUGAAACUCCAAUACAUUCAAAGAAAUUUUAAUAACACCACUACAUACACACAUACACAACAAAGGGUAAAAUGUGCAUAAGCAUUUAACUCAACUCUUCUCUCAUACAGCACCCUGAAUAAUAGAAAGAAACAACCAAAGUUCUCGUGUUUGAACAAGUUUUGUUUUGAGCUAUAUCAUGGCUGCUUGUGAAGUAUUAUUUUGCGUGUUUUAUUUAAUUCAGUGAUCUGCAGCCUAAUUAAAGUAUAAAUUAUUGAAGCACGCAUUUUUAAAUAAGUAAAACGUAAAAUAAAAGUUUUCUAAGGCCAAAAUAUGGAAUUGAAGAGGGUGAUACAGUAAUACUUCAUUGCACUAUCAAUUCGAAGCACGCAAUAGAAGCCAACAAUGGUCAACAUCAAUGGCGAAACCAUUCCCAGAUUACGAAUAUAUAUAAUAGUUGCCGCAGGAGACUUAUAGUUUUCGAGAUAUUCGCAUUUAAAGUUGAAAAUUUCACAGAUUUUAUGUGGCGAUAUUUCGAUUAUUACUUAACUUUUAAUUUAUAUAAUACGCUUAUUAUACACUAACACUUCACUAAAUUGUUUCCACAUACUUAUUUUAUAUCAAUUGGUUUAAUAUUUGCUUUAAAUAAGCAUUUUAAUUUUUAAACAAUUUUGUUUAUAUGCACAAUAAUCAGGUUGACAGAUAUCAAGUAUUGCCAUAACCAAACAAAUGAAAAUAAAAAUAAUAAUCUUUCGCGUAUUGCUUUUUUCUGCAAUUGCGGCCUUCUUCCUUUAGUGCAGCGUAGCAGCGUAGAACUUUCGAAGCGAUGGAAUAUGUGCUGCAAACAAAUCCAAAACUAUGGAUGCAAACGCUGCUACAUGGAACACAAAUCAUUCACACACCAGUUAUUACGUUUAAUGUCACUUUUUUGCGUGCAAUUAAACCUUUUGGUCAACACAAGCACGAGAAUUGGAACGACAUGGUUUAGGUGCUUUUGAAACCGUUUAUUAUCACGACGUGUGUCAACUGGGUUUUGCCAAUGAGCUAGAGGGCAAAGCAGUUUCAGUAUCUUUGAGCUUACCGGCACUUGGCCGUGCAAUUAGCAGCUAAAACACAGAAAUUAGUUCAAUGGAAAUACUACAGCAAGAGCAUGGAUGUUAAGACUUGAACGGUGCCGUGUUAGAUUUAGAAUUCCUGAAACAAGAAACCCUCCUCCCAGAUGAAUCUAGUACUAGUGAAAUUAAUGAAAGAACAGAUCUUAUAAAAACUCCGAAAGAAACCAAAAGAGUCCUCACAUAAUGUGCGCAGCUUACACUUCCAGACCGCACUGGGUAUUUGACAUUUUCCACUCUUCCUCCAGCCUUUGUCCGAUAGCAAAAAUUGUUCAAAUAUUCAUUUUCACCUACUUUAUACAUAUCUAUAUAGUGUAGUUCGAUAAUAUAUCUAUAAAGUAAAUAUAAUAAUAAACAACUAAA